rnacentral:tRNA from 1 species
AUUUGAUCUCCGGGAGAUGGGUUCGAGCCCCCUUUUUCUA